UAAAAAUAUGAAAGACAUUAUUCAAGCGAACUAUGAAGAGACAACAACGAUCGGUCCGCAAGGUCCUGACUUACUAUAUAAACUUCACUGAAUGCAAGAGUUUUUCCACAUUGCUGUGAGUAUUGCUGUGUCAGGAAUCCACGUUAAUGCUCACUUAUGGAUUAUGAUUUCUCCAAUAAUUAGCUCGCAUAGUCGCCCUUCUUCAUACAUUAUCGAUCUCCAAGCUGUGGAAAAUCAUUUAGGAAGCAAGCAGGACUCCAUAGAAAAAUUUAGCACUUUUUAACAUAUAUGAAUGGAAGUAAAUAAUUGACGGUUUUUACCACGCCCGGGAUCUUCCUUACUGUAUCGGUGCAAUAGAUGGCUAUUUCGUUUUACAAAUCUGGAUUAUCUUUUUAUAAUUACAGAAUUUUAGCAGAAUGGCGUAUGUAAUUUAAGGAAUUCAUUAUUCGCGCAACGUAUAUUGAGCAGCAAACGUGAUAUUCCUUAACCAAGCUCUCUUCCAACAGGCUAAAUUUUGUAAUUUACUUUUCCACUAAUUUUCAUAUUUAU